rnacentral:ncRNA from 2 species
UGAAUCCACGCGGGAGAGUCCCUGCCACCCCUGUGGCGGGCGCCGAAGGAGCAAGUUCCUCCCUUGAAUCUCUCAGGCCCCGUACCGCGUGCGAUGA